UUUCAAAAAGAAAAAAGAAAGGAACCACAACCGAGGGGGAGGGGAGGUAACCUUCUUUCUUUUUCUUUCUUUACGUUUUAGCAUUCAAGUGACAAAAAAUGAUUGUUGUGACUGUUGCUAAUACCUCUACCCACCAUUAUUGUCCAUGUGUAUAUAUAUAAUUGUCUUGUUAGA
rnacentral:ribozyme from 1 species